rnacentral:rRNA from 1 species
CGAGGCAAACCGGGGAAACUGAAACAUCUCAGUACCCCGAGGAAAAGAAAUCAACCGAGAUUCCCCCAGUAGCGGCGAGCGAACGGGGAGCAGCCCAGAGUCAACAUCAAUAUUUACCGCAGGGGAAGGGUCUGGAAAGGCCAGCAAUAAAGGGUGAUAGCCCCGUAUCUGAAACGGUAAGUGUUGUGAACUCGAAGAGUAGGGCGGGACACGUGUUAUCCUGUCUGAAUAUGGGGGGACCAUCCUCCAAGGCUAAAUACUCCUGACUGACCGAUAGUGAACCAGUACCGUGAGGGAAAGGCGAAGAGAACCCCGGCGAGGGGAGUGAAAUAGAACCUGAAACCGUGUACGUACAAGCAGUGGGAGCACCCGAAAGGGUGUGACUGCGUACCUUUUGUAUAAUGGGUCAGCGACUUAUAUUCUGUAGCAAGGUUAACCGCAUAGGGGAGCCGUAGGAAAACCGAGUCUUAACUGGGCGUUAAGUUGCAGGGUAUAGACCCGAAACCCGGUGAUCUAGCCAUGGGCAGGUUAAAG